AGGACGAACGCUGGCGGCGUGCUUAACACAUGCAAGUCGAACGGUAAGGCCUUUCGGGGUACACGAGUGGCGAACGGGUGAGUAACACGUGGGUGAUCUGCCCUGCACUUUGGGAUAAGCCUGGGAAACUGGGUCUAAUACCGAAUAUGACCAUGGGAUGCAUGUCUUGUGGUGGAAAGCUUUUGCGGUGUGGGAUGGGCCCGCGGCCUAUCAGCUUGUUGGUGGGGUUACGGCCUACCAAGGCGACGACGGGUAGCCGGCCUGAGAGGGUGUCCGGCCACACUGGGACUGAGAUACGGCCCAGACUCCUACGGGAGGCAGCAGUGGGGAAUAUUGCACAAUGGGCGAAAGCCUGAUGCAGCGACGCCGCGUGAGGGACGAAGGCCUUCGGGUUGUAAACCGUCUUUCAGCACAGACGAAGCGCAAGUGACGGUAUGUGCAGAAGAAGGACCGGCCAACUACGUGCCAGCAGCCGC
rnacentral:rRNA from 1 species